rnacentral:lncRNA from 1 species
CUUUGAUUUCUGAAAUCUCCAGCGAGUAUUGGGAUAAACCGUAAUCGUACCCCCUCCUAACUGCCAAAGUGUCAUGGCCGCCGUCGGGACCUAUUGUGCUGACAUUUACAAUGUUUACAUAUAGAAAAGUUUGUUUUUUUCUGCUUAUAAUGCCGUUUUCUAAAGAUAUUAGUGAACAAAAUCGAUUUGCUAACAAUAUUUAAUAUAUUUUAAAUGUGCUAAAAUUGGAUUCAACAGCAAAAGUCGCAUAAAUAACAUAUAAAUAACGAAUUUGUUCACCUAUUACAAAUGGGGUUAUGUGGUUGUAACUGUUUAUUUUGGGAAUAAAAUGAAAAUGAUCAAUUAAACGACUGGAAAACUAUAGUAAAGUGAAGAACAUCGUGAAGUUCCAAUGAUGUUUCAAGAUGAGAUAAAUCGAAAUAAUGGUUGUAUGUUAGAAGGACAGAGAAUACGAAGAAAUGUUAUUGCUGCAUACUUAGUGUAGUGAAAUACAAACUUCAAACAUUAUAAUAUAUUUUUUGAUUUCAAACAUUUCAUAUGAUUAUGAAAGAACAUCUUAGUCUUUAAAACAAUGAAGAAGUGAAGAACAUAAUAAAGUUCCAACGAAAAUGAUUCCAGAUGAGGAAAAUCGAAAUAAUGGUUGUAUGUUACGUGUAUAGAGAAUACGAAGAAAUGUUAUUGCUGCAAACUUAGUGUAGUGAAUUAAAAACUUAUUGUCAAAUACAAAUCAAUGUAUUUCAUACUUUUAUAAUAUAUAGUGAUAUAAUUUUAUAUGUGUUCAAAUAAAAAUAUUAAUAAAUAAAAUACAAUAAACACAAAUCAUGCAUAUCUUACAAUGAAUUACAAAAUCAAAAAUUAAUUACAAAAAUAUCAAAAUAAAUCUAAAAUAUUAAAAAGUAACCCAUAAUUUUUAUAGUACCUACAUACUUUGGUUGGUACUCUAAUAAUUUGGAGAUCCAUUAAAGUUUGUAGAUGGAAAUUGCAGGUAUCUAAAAAAAUAUAAUAAUAUAAAGUAACUCAACAAUCUCUUUUUAAUUAGGGUAGCAGUUGAUAAAGAUGACCCUUGCUCAGGAAAUCAAAUGUAUCUAAAAAAAAAUUAAGUAACAGCUUUCUAACAAAACAAUCUUAGCACUAAACGGAAACAAAGAUACUGGUAAGUAUUAAAACAUUUUUUGAAAAAUCUUUCUGAAAGUGAAAAUAAAGACUACUCUCUAUGGGAACAACUAAAACUGGGCAUGCUUUACAAAAAAAUGUAUCCAGAACAAAAUUCUUCUCUAUAAGGCAAUACUACGACAAGUCUGGAUGUACAGGAUUUAAAUCUGGGGAACUGCCAGUAAUACAAAUAUGCAAAAACUAUUAAGAUUCUAAUCCGAAGUCGUUUAUGAUGUCCGAUGUUUUUAGUACCACUACCAAAUAUCAUGCUAAACUGAAAAUUAUAGGGUAAAAAUCUGUCUGAUCACCCAAACUUUUAAAAGCUGGAUGCUGAUCUGAUCUAGUCCAGAGGCUGGUUUCGGUAUUGCAGCUAUAAAAUACUUAAAUAGUAAGCAUGGAAAUUUUUAUUAUGGCCCGCCUUGAGGCAAACUAGGGCACUAGAGGGUUAAGAAAAGUUACAGAUCUCUACACCACUGGGAAGUAGAUAGUAGUUACUAAUUUGUAAAAAAGUCAGAAAUAUGGUAAUGUAGACUAAAUUAAUAUAAAUAUGUAAAGAAUUCUCACCCCUGAGUGUAGUUCCCACUGUGUCAUUUUUUAUAUCUGUCAUAUUGUUAUAAUGAUAACAGAUUGCAUUAAAGUUAAAA